rnacentral:rRNA from 1 species
GAUGAACGCUAGCGACAGGCCUAACACAUGCAAGUCGAGGGGCAGCACAUGAGUAGCAAUACGAUGGUGGCGACCGGCGCACGGGUGAGUAACACGUAUGCAACCUGCCUGUAAGAGGGGAAUAACCCGGAGAAAUUCGGACUAAUACCGCAUAAUACCACGAGGCUGCAUGGUUUUGUGGUUAAACAUUUAUGGCUUACAGAUGGGCAUGCGUAUGAUUAGAUAGUUGGUAGGGUAACGGCCUACCAAGUCUACGAUCAUUAGGGGUUCUGAGAGGAAGGUCCCCCACACUGGUACUGAGACACGGACCAGACUCCUACGGGAGGCAGCAGUGAGGAAUAUUGGUCAAUGGGCGAGAGCCUGAACCAGCCAAGUCGCGUGAAGGAAGAAGGUUCUAUGGAUUGUAAACUUCUUUUGCAGGGGAAUAAAGGACGGUACGUGUACUGUUUUGUAUGUACCUUGCGAAUAAGGAUCGGCUAACUCCGUGCCAGCCGCCGCGGUAAGAC